GUCGAGUGCGUAGCCCUCGCAAGGGGGUGGGCGCACGGCGCACGGGUGCGUAACACGUGGGCAACCUGCCCUUGGAUGGGGAAUAACUCCGCGAAAGCGGAGCUAAUACCGCAUAACACUCCGGGAACCGUGGUUACCGGAAUCAAAGCCGUAAGGCGUCCGAGGAGGGGCCCGCGCCCGAUUAGGUAGUUGGUGAGGUAACGGCUCACCAAGCCAAUGAUCGGUAGCCGGUCUGAGAGGAUGGCCGGCCACACUGGAACUGAGACACGGUCCAGACUCCUACGGGAGGCAGCAGUGGGGAAUCUUGCGCAAUGGGCGAAAGCCUGACGCAGCGACGCCGCGUGGGGGAUGAAGCUUUUCGGAGUGUAAACCCCUUUCGACCGGGACGAAACGCCCGCAAGGGAAUUGACGGUACCGGUAGAAGAAGCCCCGGCUAACUACGUGCCAGCAGCCGCGGUAAGACGUAGGGGGCCAGCGUUGCUCGGAAUAACUGGGCGUAAAGGGUCUGUAGGCGGUGUGGCAAGUCGGGAGUGAAAUCUCUGGGCUUAACUCAGGGGCUGCUUCCGAAACUGCCGUGCUGGAGUGCGAGAGAGGUGAGUGGAAUUGCAGGUGUAGCGGUGAAAUGCGUAGAUAUCUGCAGGAACACCCGUGGCGAAGGCGGCUCACUGGAUCGCAACUGACGCUGAGAGACGAAAGCUAGGGGAGCAAACA
rnacentral:rRNA from 1 species